rnacentral:pre_miRNA from 1 species
AAAAAGACAAACCAUGGUUUCCGUGCCCAACGUUUGACCGUCCGUCUUAUUUAAAAAAAUUAUGAAAAAAUGAAAAAGACAAGUCACAUAUAAAAUAUUAAUCAUGUUUUAUCAUCUAACAGCAAUGAAAAUACGAAUUAUAAAAAAAUUUUAUAUAAGACGGACAGUUAAAGUUGGACACGGAAACCCAGGGUUUGCUUUUUU